rnacentral:misc_RNA from 1 species
AAGUCGUAACAAGGUUUCCGUAGGUGAACCUGCGGAAGGAUCAUUAACGAGUAACUGAACGGGUUGUAGCUGGCCUCUCGGGGCAUGUGCACACCUGGCUCAUCCACUCUUCAACCUCUGUGCACUUGUUGUAGGUCGGCAGAAGGGCGAGCCUUAAAACAGCUCGCUUGGAAGCCUUCCUAUGUUUUAUUACAAACGCUUCAGUUUAAGAAUGUAACCUGCGUAUAACGCAACUAUAUACAACUUUCAGCAACGGAUCUCUUGGCUCUC